GACGAACGCUGGCGGCGUGCCUAAUACAUGCAAGUCGAACGAACCGCGACUAGGUGCUUGCACUUGGUCAAGGUGAGUGGCGAACGGGUGAGUAACACGUGGGUAACCUACCUCAUAGUGGGGGAUAACAGUCGGAAACGACUGCUAAUACCGCAUAGGACAUAGGAUCACAUGAUUCUGUGAGGAAAGGUGGCGCAAGCUAUCGCUAAGAGAUGGACCCGCGGUGCAUUAGCUAGUUGGUAGGGUAAAGGCCUACCAAGGCGAUGAUGCAUAGCCGACCUGAGAGGGUGAUCGGCCACAUUGGGACUGAGACACGGCCCAAACUCCUACGGGAGGCAGCAGUAGGGAAUCUUCCGCAAUGGACGCAAGUCUGACGGAGCAACGCCGCGUGAGUGAAGAAGGUCUUCGGAUCGUAAAGCUCUGUUGUUAGAGAAGAACAGCGCACAGAGUAACUGUUAUGCGUGUGACGGUAUCUAACCAGAAAGCCACGGCUAACUACGUG
rnacentral:rRNA from 1 species